UACGAAGGGGGCUAGCGUUGUUCGGAAUUACUGGGCGUAAAGCGCACGUAGGCGGACUAUUAAGUCAGGGGUGAAAUCCCGGGGCUCAACCCCGGAACUGCCUUUGAUACUGGUAGUCUCGAGUCCGGAAGAGGUGAGUGGAAUUCCGAGUGUAGAGGUGAAAUUCGUAGAUAUUAGGAAGAACACCGGUGGCGAAGGCGGCCCACUGGAUCGGUACUGACGCUGAGGUGCGAAAGCGUGGGGAGCAAACAGG
rnacentral:rRNA from 1 species